UGAGGAAUCUGUCCAUCGGCGGGGGAUAGCCGGCCCAACGGCCGGGUAAUACCGCGUACGACCCAAUGGAGACAUCUCCGCUGGGUGAAAGCAGCAAUGCACCGAAAGAGUGCCUCGCGGCCUAUCAGCUAGUUGGUGGGGUAACGGCUCACCAAGGCGACGACGGGUAGCUGGUCUGAGAGGAUGGCCAGCCACAUUGGGACUGAGACACGGCCCAGACUCCGUAGGGAGG
rnacentral:rRNA from 1 species